GCCGAAGUGGCGGAAUGGCAGACGCGAUGGUCUCAAACACCAUUGGGAUAAAACCCGUGUGAGUUCGACUCUCACCUUCGGCACCA
rnacentral:tRNA from 1 species